CAAUACCUUCUGAUUUAACGCUGCUUCCAAAACAGCAAGAGAUCAAGGAUAACACACCAAAACAGAAGUCACUGGCAUCAGCCUUAUGGAACAAUCAGAGGCAGCUGUAUUGGUGGAUCAUUUGCUGUCUAUGUGUGUUUUUAAUAAGGCCCUGUGCAUUUAGGACUGUAAAGUCCUAAAACGCCAAGUGGUGUCUCAUGCACCGCUCAAUUGUCCGGACUGUCUCGCACAUUUGUAAUUCAAUGAAUGUUGACCCGAUGAAUGAGAUUGCAAAGACAGAAGGUGUUGGUGCUGCCUCAGGCUAUGGCGUCUUGAAGCAUGACUUAUUCAACCUCUGCACCAAUGAUAGUCAACCUCCUGGUUCUUGAGCUGC